CGGCAAGAGCUCAAAUUUGAAAGCUGGCCCCCUCGGGGUCCGCAUUGUAAUUUGCAGAGGAUGCUUCGGGAGUGGCCCCCAUCUAAGUGCUCUGGAACGGGACGCCAUAGAGGGUGAGAGCCCCGU
rnacentral:rRNA from 1 species